rnacentral:rRNA from 1 species
AGUGAACGCUGGCGGUAGGCCUAACACAUGCAAGUCGAACGGCAGCACAGUAAGAGCUUGCUCUUACGGGUGGCGAGUGGCGGACGGGUGAGGAAUACAUCGGCAUCUACUUUUUCGUGGGGGAUAACGUAGGGAAACUUACGCUAAUACCUCAUACGACCUACGGGUGAAAGCAGGGGAUCUUCGGACCUUGCGCGAAUGCAUGAGCCGAUGUCGGAUUAGCUAGUUGGCGGGGUAAAGGCCCACCAAGGCGACGAUCCGUAGCUGGUCUGAGAGGAUGAUCAGCCAAACUGGAACUGGAAAACGGUCCAGCCUCCUACGGGAGGCAGCAGUGGGGAAUAUUGGACAAUGGGCGCAAGCCUGAUCCAGCCAUACCGCGUGGGUGAAGAAGGCCUUCGGGUUGUAAAGCCCUUUUGUUGGGAAAGAAAAGCAGCAGGUUAAUACCCCGCUGUUCUGACGGUACCCAAAGAAUAAGCACCGGCUAACUUCGUG